rnacentral:rRNA from 1 species
AACCUGAAACCGUUACGGGGGAAGCGAAUUGCGUCGAAUUGAUUUUAUGGGGGGUGCACUGUUCAGCGCGUUUUGCGUGUACUCAGGGCAUUUUUCCUUACCCGUCGUGGGUUUUUGGAUGGUCGAAUUUGGGCCGUCUAGGACUGAGGGAUCCUCUUUUUUUAAUAUAAGGGAGAGGACGACGGGGCGCUGACGCGAUACGACCCGUCUUGAAACACGGACCAAGGAGUUCAGCAUAUGUGCGAGUCAAAGGGUGGUGAAACCUGAGGGCGCAGUGAAAGCGAUUUAACACGGAUCGUGUAAGAACUAAAACAUAUAAUUUUCAGUUUUAAGGCGGCAUACAAUGGGUGAUUGUAGGACCGACCUCGAGCAGAUAUGCUGAGACCCGAAAGAUGGUGAACUAUGCCGGAGUAGGGCGAAGCCAGAGGAAACUCUGGUGGAGGCUCGUAGCGGUGCUGACGUGCAAAUCGCUCGUCUGACUUGGGUAUAGGGGCGAAAGACUAAUCGAACCAUCUAGUAGCUGGUUUCC